UACGUAGGCAGCAAGCGUUGUUCGGAGUUACUGGGCGUAAGGAGUGCGUAGGUGGUGCCCUAAGUCUGUUGUGAAAUCUCCCGGCUUAACUGGGAGGGUGCGGUGGAAACUGGGGUGCUUGAGUGUGGGAGAGGUAAGCGGAAUUCCUGGUGUAGCGGUGAAAUGCGUAGAUAUCAGGAGGAACACCGGUGGUGUAGACGGCUUACUGGACCACGACUGACACUGAGGCACGAAAGCGUGGGUAGCAAACAGG
rnacentral:rRNA from 1 species